GCUCGGGCGGGCUGGACGGGCUGAUGGAUUCUGCGGCAGGUUGGGGCUCCCUGGGCUCCUCCAUUUUGUCAUUUGUACCAAAAAACCCACAAAAUCAAACACAUAACGGUGCUUUGGGAUGCACAUCUGGUGUUUAAGCUGUUUUGGGGAGAUGAAGACUUUCUGGACUUUAUUUAUUGUAGAAUCUGCUUUCAUUCAUUCAUUCAGUCGGCUUUUCAUUCUCCGUUGCUGCUGGUGGUACAAAUUAUUAUUAGUUCUGAUGUUUUUAAAGGGUUUUGGCCUUUCUCAGGACUGAAACAGAGAAAUAAACUUAACAGACGAGUCAAUUAUGCUGUUAAGCAGCAUUCUUUAUUUUAUCAGCGCUGGGGAUCAUCCUCCAUCAGCAUUCCAGCAACUGGAUGCUCUUGCAUUGCUGAUGUUCACAUAAUUGGUAUAUACGCAUUACAAUUAUUGAAAAUUUUGGCAUACAGUACAUCCAUCCUAAGAAAUAAUUGAUGAUGUUAGUUAUAAUAUUUCAGUUCCUUACUUACACCUGUUAAUUAUUAGUUAAGUAUAAACUAAGCACUCUGCUUCUAAACAAUGUGUUACUUAAUUUUCUCUCCCCUUCUUGUCCUGCAGAAGGAUCUAAAACGUGAACAAUAUCCCCUCGUUUUUUAGGUGGUCAGAAAGCAUUGAUCGUGUCAAUUGGUUAAUGAUGGGCUCAUCUUUUAUAGCUUAAUCAGAGUAUACAUGGAUUUGGCAGCUUCUGUUCAUGACAGGUGCAAUAUAUAUAUAUAUAUAUACUGUAUAUGCUGAUGACAGAUGUUGAGCUUUGAUGUGCAAUCGGAAGGUGGCCCCAUCGUUCUUUCCAGGGAAUGGAGAAACGUUUUCCGUGAGGAGGUGUGGAAUACACCUCAAUGUUUCAAAGGUCAUUCCUCUCCCUUCCUUCUGCCAGGCUCCUCCAGCCUUUGUCACGUCAGAGCUCUUCCCGCCCUGGCUCUGAACACAUACAGACCUCAGGUAUCAGGCACAUCAGUGGAAACACCUGCUCAGAGCAGUUAAUGACGUCCUUAUUUCUUCUCCCCGUGCUUCCGAGGCCCAUUACACCAUAAUGGUUUUGUUUACCCGGCUUUCUAAGUCAUUCCUGGUAGUACUUGCAACAGGCUAAACAGGAAAGUUGGGCAUUGCAGCUUGGGCUCCGCAUUGCGUUUGACCCUUGGGGUGUUCCCAGCGCGGGGUGUGGGUGGUCGGCAGGAACCAGCAGGACCAGUGGUGCUUCUGCUCUUACACAACUGGAAAUUCACGCAUCCCGGAGUCUGACUCAGCUCUGCUCUUCCCUGAGUGCCUGGGAGUAAUGGCACACUUCUUGUAUUUCUUGGAGAGGUAUUAGAAACACAAACGAGAUGUAGGUAUUAGAGUAGUGUGUAUUUGGGGGCUUUUAACAGCAGUUUUGUGUGCUCUGGUGAUGGACUGGAGCCAGGGCUAAGAUGCGGUGGUGGGGUUGGGUCAAGGAAACAGCACUCAGUGAUGGAUUCUGGAGGGGACCUUCUAUUUGUGGGAGGGGUUUAGAGAAGAUCUGGGAGCACAACAGUCCUUUUCAGAAAGCUGGAGUCUAAAAUAUAUAUGUAUAUAUUACAGGGGUAAUGGGAGGUGAAUGUACAGGGUGUACAAGUAACAAAAAUCAGGAAAGAAGGUUUUCCAGACAAGGAAGUGCCUGGUGAAGAAAGGCCCGGCCUUCUGGAACGCUGCUUAAAAUCACUAAGUGGGGUGAAGUUUGGGGUUUGACCUGUGCGUUGGUUCUGCGGACAGCAAGAAGGGGAAGCGGGAGAGGUGGAUGACCCAAUGCUCUGGUGUAGCUCUGCUCUCUAGUGCUUCACUCUUUACCUGUGGGAAUGCGUGCAUUCAGUUUACACACCGUAGUUUUGUUCUGGUAUUGAGCCUUUUGUUUGUGAGGGGUCUGUGUGCUGGUGGCCGCAUGAUGAAUCUACCCUGAUUCUCAAGGAUACACUUCUUUGUAGGAACCGCAGCGCCCCUGCGGAAGAAAAUACGUUAGGAGCAGCAACACCAUGAAGAACCAGCCCUGCGUGCUCGGUGGUUACGGGUGAAAUGCUGUCCUGGGUUGUGCUAACGCUGCUGAGCGCUUUCUGAUGUGUUUUGUGUGUCUGUUCUGCGGCAGGAUGCUGUUCCCCCUGCCUGUGCGGGUGGCCUGCAGUCUGCUCGCCUGGCUUUCCCUCUACGCUUGGUUCUGCCGUCGCUACAAGCACCGGAAUUACGAGUGGAGCUGCAGGCUGGUCACGCUGACCCAUGGCGUCCUCGCUACGUGUCUCUCCGCUUACAUCGGCUUUAUCGAUGGUCCCUGGCCUCUGAGUCACCCAGGGUCACCAAACACAACUCUUCAGGUACACGGGCUGUGCCUUAGCUUGGGCUAUUUCCUCUUCGACCUGUGCUGGUGUGUGUAUUUCCAGACGGAGGGGGCCCUGAUGCUGGCCCACCACCUGGUGAGCAUCUUGGGCAUCGCGGCAUCGCUGGCGCUCGGGGAAUCGGCCGCUGAGGUCAACGCCGUCAUCUUCGGUAGCGAGAUCACUAACCCGCUGCUGCAGGCCCGCUGGUUCCUGAAGGAGACGGGGUGUUACCACAGCUUUGCGGGCGACGUGGUGGAUUUCUUCUUCGUGGUGCUGUUCACCGGAGUGCGGAUUGGAGUGGGCGCCUGGCUGAUGUACUGCGAGCUUGUUUCUCCCAAACCCAGGUGGUACAUCAAGCUGGGUGGCGUCAUCAUGUACGCCGUCUCCUGGGUUUUCAUGGUCAGCAUCUGCCGCUUCGCCAGGAGGAAGAGCAUGAGGAAGUACCACGCUUGGAGGAGUCGGAGGAGCGAUGAGUUAUACUUGAAAACUAACGGGCAUCUGAAAAGCCACUGAUUGGAUGCUGGGUAGAGAAUUCCUCGAGUUCGCAAUCUGGCAAGAAGGGGAUUGUGCCUGAAAUGCCACUGUCGGGAGAGGAGCCAACACACGUUAGCGAUUCCGGAGCCAGAUUUAUCCCUGGCGUAACUCCACUGAAAUCCAGGGAGCUACGCCAUGGAUUCAUUUGAUCCGCAGCGUUUGGCCUGGCGCGGUGUGUACCUAAGCAUAGACUAAGUGAUACAGUGAAAGAAGGGCUAAUUUUACAGACUAAACAUAACUAGUCCAGCAGUGCACGUGUAAAUAGUAACGUUAGUCGCUAACUCCUUCAGCACUGGUGGAAUUUUGGGAGAGAGGAGGAAAUAACACUAGAUCUUCACGUUCAGCGUCCUGUGCAGUCCGGACAGCUCGAGUGACUCUUGGGAAGAAGCGUGUUCUAGUGUUUGGUCAGAGUUGGGAUUCCUGGCUCUUCCACCAUCGUUAUGUGACCUUGGGCAAGUCACGUAGCCAACUCUGUGCCUCGUUUCCCCUCCUGUGGAUUGGGGGCGAUGGAGCUGCUCCAUCUGCUUUAUGCACUUUCAGAUCUUUACUCGAGAGGUGCUACAUGAAUACAAAAUGAUGGCUGAUAUCUGCACUUUGUUCAUUAUCCUUGUGUUGCCUUUGGGCGAAAGGAUUUUGGUGUUUGAGAUAGUGUGACUCUAGAAAGAACAGUGUUUCAGGUGCGCUCAGGAAAAUAUUUCAGUGGCGCUUUCAGACCAAAGAACCAACAAGAUUUUAAUGUGAUUUUCGAGCUUCACGUCUUCAAGAACAACGCGCCAGGAUCAAUGUGUAAGUCGAUGGGCAACAUGCUUUGAUUAUAAAGACAGAAAUCUGCCCCUCUCCCCAGUUUAUUUCAUUUUAUCUUCCUGUUAUUUGAAAGCUGUUCCUUCCCUGUGCUGCGUUUUGCUUCUGCUGGCUCUGCGGGGCUGUACAGAAUUAACCUCCUUGUUCAGUCCUCUCCCCUAUUUUUCUAUCUGAGCUCCUUAUUUGUAUUUGAAGAGCGUGCAGUUUUAUGCUAUUCAAGGCUUUACUCCCUCGCAACACCAGUCCAAGCACCGAUGUUAAGCCUUUGGAGUCUGCGGUCAGACUGAUAGCGGUGCUGGCAGCACGUCUGUUUCUUGGCCAAAAGAGCAUGAUUAAGCUUCAAGGAAUUAGUGGGUAUGUUCCUGAUGCUCACAGACUUUGGACAGCUUGGCUGGAAGGGGAACAACACAUCCGCUGCCAUUUUCACAUAAAUCAGAGUCUGAGGGGGAAUCAGCGUUAGCCUUGUUGCUGAAGCCUUUUUGGGGCAAGAAGCAGCUAUUUUUUUGUUAUAUCAAUAUACCGGCACUUUUCUUUUUCCAAGUCAGCCUCAAUAUGUUCUCCAGUAAAUCCAUAUAAGAGAAACUGGGGUGUUUUGGUGGCUCUGUCUUGUUUCCCUCGACUUCCAGGGCAGUUUGGCAGCUGGUGCGUUGGCAACAUAGGGAUCUUCAUGAAAUGACUUUAAGGCGGAAAGGACCAGCUCAAGGUGGAUGGAAAUGCUUUUGCAAAGUAAGAAUGGUUUACUGAUUUAUUUUCAUGUGGGAAGGUUGACAUAUUGGUUUCUCGAACGUUACAAAGUGCAGGUUUUCAGCAAUGCUUGUGUUGUAUGUGUUGUGUCAGAAAGUCAUAAUCUGUUCAAUAUCACUGAUAAUCUUCCAAUGUGAUAAGAAAUGAUGUUGUUCUCCAUCUCUUUAGGUUUUAUUAAUAAUAAAGAUCUCUCUUUAAUCCAAGGACAUCAAUAGUAGCAGAGAGCAAGAAGAAAGACUCAUGACAACGUCCAGCAGCUUCAUCCGUCCUUAAACGUUGCUGCUUUAAUUGUGCUGGUAUGGAACACAAGCUUAGUGCUAUAAAAUGCUUAGUGUGGUGUGGAUUAGCCAGGUUUAGGAGCUGUAUUAAGCUGGCACAGCAGAAGCUCUCAUAGAUUAGGCCACGUGUGUGUCUCAACAAAGUCAGAGUGUUGCGUUUGUGUCCGAGUGACUUAAAAACCCAGAGCAGCUCCCAGGAGGCUGAACUAAGGUGAGUUUGACGGGGGGGAAUUGCAGGGAUUUGUUGGAAAAUGAUGCUGGUAUUGACAACUACAUCUGGAUUUGUGUUUUUGUGGUCAGGGUUGAUGCAGAAGUACUUCGGAGAUCCUCUCAGCCUCAAAGCCUUCCUUAUUUUCCUGGUUGUCCGUCUUUCUAUGUCAAACUUGAGACCAUUUUAAUGAUGAGCCGCACUAAACACCAUUAACUGCCAUGGAAACUACGUCGUUUUCAGCUGAAGGUGAUCAACUCACCUGCACGUUAUUACUAUUAAUUUUUAGAGGUAGACUCUAACACACCUACAUGUGUGGAUGUUUAGAGUGCAAAGACCAAUUUUCCUGUUAUAAUGUAACCUUUCCCCUCACAAUUUAAUUUAUGAGAAGGAGAAAGGGGUUUGCCACUCUCAACCCAAUGCUGAGGUCCCGUCUGUUCUUCAGGGGUCACAGAUCCAUGUGCACAUCUGGAAAAUGAAUCACAGAAUCCCAGAGUGUGAGGGGUUGAAGGGCCCUGGAAAGCUCAUCCAGUGCAAUCCCCCCAUGGAGCAGGAACACCCAGAUGAGGUUACACAGGAAGGUGUCCAGGCGGGUUGGAAUGUCUGCACAGAAGGAGACUCCACAACCCCCUGGGCAGCCUGGGCCAGGCUCUGCCACCCUCACCCCCAACAAGUUGCUUCUCCUCUUUCACUGGAACCUCCUGUGUUCCAGUUUGCACCCAUUGCCCCUUGUCCUGUCACUGGUUGUCACCCACAAGAGCCUGGCUCCAUCCUCCUGACACUCCCCCUUUCCAUCUUGAUCCCCAGGAAUGAGUCCCCCCUCAGGCUCCUCUUGUCCAGCUCCAGAGCCCCAGCUCCCUCAGCCUUUCCUCACACGGGAGAUGUUCCACUCCCUCCAGCAUCUUGGUGGCUGCGCUGGACUCUCUCCAGCAGUUCCCUGUCCUGCUGGAACUGAGGGGCCACAACUGGACACAAGACUCUCUGACCUACUGACCACCCCCUUCUAACCCACCCUGGCAUUCAUUUCCCUGGGCCUUUCCUCUCCAGCCGUGCAGGGUGAAAGGCAGGUUGUAUUUUAUUUGAAUCUUUUUUCCCCAAAACAGUUGGUGUGGCAGUUUGUGCUGGCUGGGUUGGCUUUCAGAGCUGCUGUACAAGGGUUUGCCAGGAGAUGGAGGCAGCUCCCCGAUGAGCUUCACUACGAGGCUGGAAAAGAUCUAUUUUAAUUACUACUGCGCAGUGUAAUUACUUAUUGAUUUGCUCCCCUGCCCUGAUUUCAUGUUGUAAAACUGUCCAAGCAGCAGAAGUAUCAGAAAAGGCAUCUGCAUUAAUACAAGUACACAAUCGUCUCCCACAAAACCAAAAUCAUUUGCAGGAAAGAGAAGCGGUUGUGCUUUCAGAAUCUAGUUUGGAAUUGUUUUGUUAGCGCUUUUUCCUUUUAAUUGUUGCUUUAGACAUCGAAAUGUGAAUGCGGCCCAUUAUAAGCAGCUUAUCUACUACAUGUGCCAUGAGGGUUUUAUGGUUCUUUUUGUUUUAAUUGAUGUAGUUUUAUGUGAUGCUUCUUUAGACAAGACCAAGCAAACUUUUGGCAAGUGUUAAUUAGUAUCAUUCCACUGAAUUAUACAUAAUUUACUGUAGCAAGGGAUAAGUUUUAUUCUCGUUCUUAUGUUCCUUUCUAAGAUUUCCUCCGGUAAUUGUCAUUAUGUUGUCACGCACAAUAAAAUAUAAUUAAAGUAAUAAAAAAGCAUCGAGGCCUAAUGUGCAAAUGCUGUGAAACACAAGGAGCCUUCCUCCCUCACCCACAGUGCGCGACGUUCCAUAAGGAAACCAGAAGCGGAUGUAUACACGUCCUGUGUAUAUACGUUGAGUACCGUGUAGAAAAUCACUUCAUCCCGCGCUUCCUCCCUUCGCACCGAACUUCAAAGCAACAAACCCCUCAGUCCGUCCCUCUCCCGGCUGCUUCGUUCGCGCUCAACGUCGCUCCAAAGAGGAAAAGACUUUAUGUUGUAGGGCGGAAUACAGCAAAUUAUGGUCCUGGGUUUCCAGAAACCUGUUCUCCAGACUCUUUCCAAGUGUCCUGGCUUUGAAGGAGUCUAUCAAGGUGAGAUUAAUUAGAGGGAAGAAGGGUGGUGUCCUCUAUGCUUUGGAUUAGCUAAUAAGGUUAUUUUGCUCUGUUGGCUGAAAGGCUUCUGAAUUUGUAGCAUACUGAUGAUAUUCCUGGGUGUUUGAGAGCAAGUGUGUUGGAACUCGGUAAUGGAGGGUUAUUAAUGAAAAAUACACAUUUGGGUUCUAUUUGUUUAGAUUCUGCGGUGAAUUGACGGCAAUUUUAUCCCUGAAUUAUGUAUGGCUCUGUUUUGCCUCGGCAAGCUGAUACAGACAAAUGUAGUUAGGAAAAGAUAUAUCAAAAUGAACUGAGAGGCUGUAAAAUAUGAAUGUUUAUCAUCCA